UUCUCGACAAGAUUUUUCGAAGAUUUGACCUAGUGACCUAAUUUUCAAUCAUAUGUGACCCAGUUUUAUUCACGACCAAGAGUUCAUCAAGGAAAACAUUCUGAUUAAGUUUCAUGAAUAUUUGACCAUGCUUCAUGCCUCUAGUAGCAAUAACAACGUAACGCCGUUUUUUACACUUCCCUAUUCUGCACAAUGCUAAUAACACUCCUCGCUCCAAUGGAUAUUACUCCUGCAAACAUUUAUACUUACUGCCGAAAAUGGUACCAAAAUAAUCAUGAAUAAAUUAUCUAUCAACUGUAGUACGGGUUUUAUCUAAUUUUGUGAAACAGAAUAAAACGAGCAAAAAGUUUCACAAGCAUUUUUUGUAAUAUGUCGUUUUUCUGCCGGUCUUGGGACGUUUUGACUGUCAUUUUAUACUUUCGAUUUCGGAUAUUUUAAGAAUUGUUUUGAUUGUCAAUGACUUUACAAGGAUACAUUGACGUCUCCUGCAUCGUGAGAAAUAAAGCCAUAGAAUACAUUCAUACCACUCAAAUUCAGCCAGUCAGAAUGAUGGGAAGGAUUGCAGAACUGAGUUUCACUCUCACCUGACUGAUGCAGAUUCAGUAACCUAAUUGCUCAUGAUGGUUUCUGAGAAAAAAACCCAGCUUGGUGUAAUUUGACAGUAUUUUUCAGUAUUUGACAGUGGUUCUAUCAUGCAACAGUCAUACCAUGAAGUGUCUCACAGAUUCUCUCUCAAUUCCUGCAAUAUCCAAGAUUACAGUGUUGUGCAAAGAGGAUUAAUUUUCUUGCAAUAAGAAGUAUCUGCACUUCCAAAUACCCCUGUACAGCAUGAACAGUUCCUUCAUUUUUUGAGUGAUUAUAGAGUGAAAAUGUUUCCAUAUAAAAUGUUUUCUUUUUAUGUGUAAAACUUGUUAUGAAUGGUUACAAAUACAUGCAUGGACAUUAUGAUUCCAAAUCUAUGCACAUUUUGAUUCCAAUAAUUAAAGUAUUUUAAAUUUGGUUUGAAACAGAAAUAUUGUCCUUAUGUUUGUUUCUAAACAUUAUCUGGUAUUAUUCGUGUUUAUAGUUUCCAUGUCAAUUUUAAAAAAAAGUCGUAGAAAAAAGUUCUUUUAAAGAUGCACUCUUACUCCCACAUAAGAUUUACCACAAUUAAUACUUUUGUUUUAUUAUUCCAAAAAGGAUGAAUAUAUGUUGAAAACAAUGGUUCUAAUGAAGGAUGCCUACUUCUACUUGAAGGAAAUGUGCAUAAAAGACAGUAUUUCUACCAUUUGAGAUCAUAGUAGAUCACAGUAAAUCUUUAUGCAUUCACCAAUCAUUUAAUAUCUUUGCUUUUUCAGUUUAAAUACACGGUUACAAUAUUUUUAUCAAUACUUAAUAUUUUCCAAAAAUGAAUUAUUAAGUAAGUUGUUAAAGGGUUAACAGUCAAAGUAUAUGUUUGUUAUACAUUUGUAUGCAUUGAUACUGAAUAAGAGUGUCACUUUAAACAGUUGCCAUGGUAACUAUAGUCUAGUUUUCUUAAGAAACUGUAAUUGUUGUCUAAAAACCUUUGUAUUUUCAAUGUGAUACUUUUUAGCAUGUCCGCUUCAGUCAAUGAAAUAUUUCUGUUAUUUGUUAAUCAUUUGGUCAUACUUUGUAUACAAUUAUAUUUAUAAUUUAACCUUGAAAAUUGCUGACAAUCUCAUACUUAUAUUGAAAUAUUCAGAAUUGCUAGAUGGGUUGAAAUUCACCUUUAUUACAACUGUCAGGCAAAUCAUGGCAAGAUGUACAUAAUUCUCCUUUUUAACAAAAAGCGAUGUUUAAAGCAUUUUUUGUAUUUUUAUUGAAUGGUUACCAUGGCAACUAAUUUUUUGUUUACCUUUAAUCUUCCUAUUUAUAAUACUAUUAAUUGUAAAAAUGCAACAGUCAAGCAGUGAAUGGAAGAAUGUAAAUGUUCAUUGUCUUUUACCCUUUUCAAGCUCAUUCUUCAAAAUAUAAAGGAAUUUUAAAAUUUCUUAAAAAUGGACGUUUUUUCAUCAUUUUUUUAAAAGUAAAAUAAUUUGCUUAAAACUUUGUUUAGGUUUUGAUAUUUAGGAAUGUGUAUUAAAUUUAUAGAAAAUAAACAAAAUGUGUUGUUUGACAUUAUUUAUUUCAUUUAAAUUCCGAAGUUUUGAAUUUGACCUAUUUUGGCAGAAAAAAUUGAUAAAAAUGUAAAAUUAAAAGGGCCAUAAUUCUGUCAAAAAUUGAUGGAUUUUGAAAAAAUGUGCAUAUUUGAGUUUGUAAUGACGUAACCUUUAAAAUGAUAUAUCACUUUAAUAUACCGCAUUAAAUUAAUUUUUUACGUUGUUAUUGCUACCUCUAGUAUGUUCCAUUUUUUUCCCUAAGAUU